GGCAAUAAAAGAAAAACAUUUGCCAUGAAUGUUAAAUUAAAUUUGCCAUGUAUGUGUAAGUAAAUUUGCCAUGGCAAAAUAAAAGGGAAAUUUUGCCAUGUUUUAAAAGAAGAAAAGAUUAGCCAUGCUCCCAGCAAAAAAACAUGCUGAAAAUUGCCAUGGCAAUUUUAGAGAAUGUGAACUUCGGUGAAAAUUUCAAUCAUAGAAAACAAAAACUCAUCACUAUGUACAUGGCAAAAGAAAAAUUUGUGAAUGUACCAUGGAAAAAAAGCAGACUAUAUUGCCAUAGCAAAAAAUUAAGACUAUAUUGCCAUGGCAAUUUACAGAAUAUAAGAAGAUUGACAUUUGGUGAGAGACAUGGUUAAACAAUUUAUUCUUGCUAUCAUGGCAAACUUGUUUCGCAAACCAUGGCAAAUGUAGUUCAUUUAUCAUGGCAAAAUUAUUUAUUCGACAAGGUCAAGCAAACAACAAACUAGUAAGCCACCUAGUGCUAGAGUGCUUGUUUAUGAUCACUAGGACUGGUGGCUUUAAGUAGCCGAUCACAGAACCACAAUUAGUGACCUAAUUCACAAUCCAACCAAGAACAAAACUCCAGGAAAAAAAUGGAAUUUUCACACUCAAUGCAGCAUGGGCACUCCAGGUGCAGAAGCUAGAAGCUUGUAGUUGCCAUGGCAACACAUCUUAAAAAUUAACAAAAAAGGCACAUGUACUUGUCAUGGCAACACAUCAUGGCCACAUAUGCUUUUAGUUGCCAUACAAUUUGUUGAUGAAUUAACAAAAAGAAUUACAGUGAUAGUGUAAAUCACAAAAAUCUGUUGUGCCUCUCCUGGGACAUUACAUGGCAGUUUGAGAAAAAAGAACUGAAGAAGUGGAACAAAGGGGCGUAUGCACAAGCACAAAAAGAGUAUCAUUCGUAUUUUGUUGGAUUGGCAUCAAACUUGUGAUAUCAAAAAGAGUGUUAUCAUGAUGUAGGGAAUAAUUAGAAGUCAGCAAUGUGAAAGGGGGAGGUGAGAUGCUACCUGUAGACGGAGCCAACGCCAGCUGUGGCCUUGUGAGUGUGUGUGUGAUGGUCGAGCUCGAACUCAGGACCCCGUCCUUGACCUCCUCGGACGCCGUGGGGAAGGGCGGCCGGCGGCAGAGGUGAAACGAUGGCGAAACACCUCGGCCACGGCCUAGUCAGUGGCUGUGUUCACCGGAGCGCGGCGCCUGGUAUUGGCCGCGCCGGCGAGGACCACGCGUGUAGGUACUGUACAGGCACUCAUGUAUAGAGGCGGACCCGACGUCGGCCGCGUCGGCGCUGGCGAGCAGGCGACACCUCGAACCAGUUCGCACGCGCUUCCACAAGCUCGAGCUCCAUCGUGCGCGAGACUCCCCCAGCCGCCACCGCGCGCGUUGUGCCACCCCGCCGUUGCUCACCUCGGAGAGGCGCGUCGGUUGUUGGAUGGGGCACGUCGCCGGGAGCGGUGCGGGCCACAUCGCCGGGGGCGGCGCCUCCACGCGCUGGAGCCCGCUACCGCGCCGCCGCCCACCACAAGGAGGCGCGUCGCCCUUGUGUGGUGCGGGCCGCAUCCCCGGGGCUGGUGUGGAGGCGCGUCGCCGGGCUGGUGCCGGGCUGCGAUGCCGCCGUGCACCGGAGCUCCAUUGAAAAGGGGAAUCGGUGGGGUGGUUUGCUAGUGAGUGGUGGUGAGGUGAGGGGAGAAAGGAUAAGGAAGUGCGGCUGGGGAGGCAUGGAUACGUUCGCGAUAGUGCUUUUCCGAACGAGAAAAAUC
rnacentral:rRNA from 1 species